UACGGUGGCCGAGAGGGGUCACAACACAUACAAACGCCGCAACAACUGCGUAUACAGAAAACACCUGCAAAUUCAGAAAACACUUUCAUCGAUUACACAACACGUGCGCUGCAAAUGCCAAAACACAUUCAAAUUCAGAAAAACACCUGCAAAUUCAGAAAAAAACAUGCAAACUCAGAAAACACCUGCAUCGACUUCAUAACACGAGCAAAUAGGGAAACGAACUGCAAGUUAUGACAACGGAAAUGUGUCCCGGGGGAUCAUAAUCAGUGACGGACCCAUAUCCGGUUGGCGGUUCUUUUCAAUUACGAAGGUGUUAAGUCGUUUGAUUGUGCUACAAGAGAUUGACAUGUUCUGCCCGUUCUGUGCGGUGCAACUGGGGGACGCUCCCAAGUUUUGCCCGUCAUGUGGGCAGAAUGUGGGGUUCCUUACACAGCUCCCAUCAACUCCAUCCACCUCGUCAAGCGAAGGCUGUGGGCCUACAGUGAAGGAGACUAGGAAGGAAGGAAGAGCAGCUCAAUUCUUGAGGUUCAGGGAGGUUAAAGAGGCUGAGAGGAGGACCUCCUUUUCAAAGCUUAAAAAGAAGCAGGCCAUUACAGUGAAGGUAAGUUAAUACAGAGGUUUUAGGUCGUAAUGUGACUAUUUAAGACCCAGUAG